CCAGACACAUCUCUAGGAUAAUGAUGACUGGGUCAGCUGAGUUUUGAUUACUAAUAUGCAAAGACAUUUGAUCGGUGUAUUGGUCCCAUAGAGUGCAUUUUAUUUGGUUCUCUCUGAGAACCACAUGUAAUAAAUUAGAAGAUCAUAAAUACGAAACUAUUCAGCAGCAAUUGAAUUUACUGUAUAUAAUCUAAAAAUACUCACGAUAAGUCUUGAAGAGUGAUCUGUAGUAUCUUGUGGUUGUGUCCACUUUUGUUAAUAUCUUUCACUUCAUCUAUUUCUAUAACAUGUCCAAU
rnacentral:lncRNA from 1 species